GGAACGGUAGCGUAAUGGAAGCGCGUCAACAUACGCAUGAGGGAGGUGUUGGUUCAAGCCCAACCCGUUCCC
rfam:Daphnia pulex DAPPTscaffold_12145_Cont18310, whole genome shotgun sequence.